rnacentral:lncRNA from 1 species
AGUAAUUACUUUUCGAGCCAACCAGCAGGCUUUUUACACUUGCUCCAUAUGUGUCCGAUCUUGCCACGAUUGUAGCACCGUAGAGUAGAACCAAUUGAAGCUGACUUAGAAGACUUCAAAUCAACAGUGCUACGAAUAGGAGAGGUAGAAACCGUAUUGCCCCGCAUAUCUCCUGCUUCUUUGGUGCUUGGUUACUCCACA